AACGGUCUAUACCUGCGGUACCUGCGGAAGGAUCAUUACUGAGUAACGUGGUCUUUUUAGACCCGCUACCCGCCCUUUGUCAUAUGUUGGACGAGGUCGUCUUUAGGGGCGGCCUCCGACCCCACUUCCCGGGAAGCGUUGCGCCUCAUCAGGUCUAGGCCUUUGAUGGGGAUUGGGGCCGCCCGGGGCCUUUUUCAAACCCUUUGUGAGAAAUCUGAAGUCUGAAGCGAAAGCUUAAAA
rnacentral:misc_RNA from 1 species